GUCCCCGAGGCAGAUUUCCAGUUCUCAGCUGCCACCUUUCAUGGAACCUAUCCCUCGAUGUCGAGGACCAGCAACCAGAAGAUGCGGUCAAGCAUCCUGUUCAGUGUACCGUUUCAGGAAAUCGAACUGUCAUCAACUGUUGUGGUCUAGAAGGACGAUUAUGUUCUGUUACUAUGUAUGAGGUUUUAUUUUGUUUUAGCAAGAGGCAGAAACCCCCCAGUGA